UACGGGGGGGGUAAGCGUUGUUCGGAAUUACUGGGCGUAAAGGGCUCGUAGGCGGCCAACUAAGUCGGACGUGAAAUCCCUCAGCUUAACUGGGGAACUGCGUCCGAUACUGGAUGGCUUGGAUUUGGGAGAGGGAUGCGGAAUUCCAGGUGUAGCGGUGAAAUGCGUAGAUAUCUGGAGGAACACCGGUGGCGAAGGCGGCUAUCUGGACAGAAACUGACGCUGAGGCGCGAAAGCUAGGGGAGCAAACAGG
rnacentral:rRNA from 1 species